rnacentral:rRNA from 1 species
UACGUAGGUGGCAAGCGUUGUCCGGAUUUACUGGGCGUAAAGAGCGCGCAGGCGGUCGUUCAAGUCGCGUGUGAAAGCCCCCGGCUCAACUGGGGAGGGUCACGCGAUACUGAGCGACUCGAAGGCAGGAGAGGGAAGUGGAAUUCCCGGUGUAGUGGUGAAAUGCGUAGAUAUCGGGAGGAACACCAGUGGCGAAGGCGACUUCCUGGCCUGUUCUUGACGCUGAGGCGCGAAAGCUAGGGGAGCAAACGGG